UGUUUCCUACGGGACGCAGCAGUAGGGAAUUUUCGUCAAUGGGCGCAAGCCUGAACGAGCAAUGCCGCGUGAACGAGGAAGGUCUUCGGAUCGUAAAGUUCUGUUGAAGGGGAAAAAGAGCGGAGAGAGGAAAUGGUCUCCGAUUGAUAUUACCCUUCGAGGAAGUCACGGCUAACUACGGGCCAGCAGCCGCGGCAAUACGUAGGUGGGGAACGUUAUCCGGAAUGUUUGGGCGUAAAGGG
rnacentral:rRNA from 1 species